AGGCGAGUGGAAGUCCAGCUUUUUCUUCUGAUGGGUCUAGCUGUGUUAAUGGACCUUUAACAAAGCCAGAGGUUGCCUCUUUUUUACAACCUUUAUAUAACUCCAUCAUUUAAUGGGAAAUAUAAUGUUUCUAAUGUUUUCCCAAUUCUCUAUGAUCUUUACAAUACAGCACACACUCAUGUACCUGGCAGGUCCACACUGAGGUGAUGAGGUAUCCAUUAUCCUGAAACACGUUGAAGAUCUCCAGGAUGCCGCGGGAGUAUCCGAACACGGAGAUGCUGGCGUCUGAUAUGGCCAGGUUAAGGCAGCAGGUAAACUCCGAUGAUGGUGUCUCCCUGGUCGGACAACGGAGCGUCUUUACUCAGCAGGCUGAAGUUGUUGUUCCUCCACGGAAUGUUCACCGCCUCCAGAGCUCUGGUGGAGGACAUGACUAAAGCUUCUCAAGCUUCAGUGCUCUGGUUAAAAGAAGCAUACAGGUUGUUGUCGUUUGCCCGUUGUGGGUGAAGCCAAGAGCCUUCCUGCUGAGAGAUUCUGAAGACGGCAUGCAUGAAGGAAGCAGGUAGAGCUUAGAGAUGAGCAAACAAGCUACAAGAAGUGUGAGUAUAAGUGCAACUAGACAGAAAGAAACACCAGGGCUCCAAAAUGAUGGUAGAAUCCACUACUGACUAAUUUUCCAAAUGAAAAGAGGUGAAUGGUUUCAACAAAGAUUCUUUAUUUACAAAAGGUCACUGUAAAUCGCUACUGAGAGUAGCCAUCCAUCAACAAUAAGUAAAGUGAGCUACAUUACCAGACCACAGUAAAAAAAAAAAAAAAAAAAAAAA